rnacentral:rRNA from 1 species
ACCUGGCUCACACCGGUUUAAACUCAGAUCAUGUAAAAUUUUAAAGGUCGAACAGACCUAAUAUGAAAGCAUCUUCACCAACAAUUAAUUUUAAUCCAACAUCGAGGUCGCAAUCUUUUUUUUCGAUAAGAACUCUAAAAAAAAUUACGCUGUUAUCCCUAAGGUAAUUUUGUCUAAUAAUCUAAAUUUUAGGAUCAUAAACUCAUAAAUAAAUGGAUUUAUAAAAAAAAAGUUUGUUUAAUUUUUAUGUCACCCCAACAAAAUAUUUCUUUAAUUAAAAUAAUUUAUUAAACAAAAAUUUAUUGUAAUAUAAAAAUAUAAAACUCUAUAGGGUCUUCUCGUCUUCUAUACAUAUUUAAGCUUUUUAACUUAAAAAUAAAAUUCAAAUUAAUUUUUAUAGAGACAGUAAUUUUCUUAUUCAACCUUUCAUGCAAGCUUUCAAUUAAAAAACUAAUGAUUAUGCUACCUUUGCACGGUUAAUAUACCGCGGCCAUUUAACUCUUCAUUGGGCAGGUUAGACUUAAAAUUAUAGUCAAUAAGCC